ensembl:lncRNA
GUAAUGCUGUUGCUGUUCUUGGUGUUGUUAAUACAGCUGUUGUUCUUAGUGCUGGUAGUGAUGCUUCUGCUAUUGUUGCUGCUGAUGUUCUUGGUGAUACUGCUAUUGUUGUUCCUCUUGUUAUUGGUGGUGUUGUCAUUGUUAUUGGUAUUGUUCUUGGUCUUGUUGUUGUUUUUAUUGCUAUUGUCGUUGCUAUUGUUAUUGUUACGGUUGUUCUUGGUGGUGUUGUUAUUAUUGUUGUUCUUGGUGUUGUUGUCAUUGUAAUUGGUAUUGUUGUUGUUCUUGGUGGUGUUGUUGUUAUUGUUGUUCUUGGUGGUUUUGUCAUUGUAAUUGGUAUUGUUGUUGUUCUUGGUGGUGUUGCUGUUAUUGUUGUUCUUGGUGUUGUUGUCAUUGUUAUUGGUAUUGUUGUUGUUCUUGGUGGUGUUGUUAUUAUUGUUGUUCUUGGUGUUGUUGUCAUUGUAAUUGGUAUUGUUGUUGUUCUUGGUGGUGUUGUUGUUAUUGUUGUUAUUGGUGGUGUCAUUGUUAUUGGUAUUGUUCUUGGUCUUGUUGUUGUUGUUGCUAUUGUCGUUGCUAUUGUUAUUGUUACUGUUGUUCUUGGUGGUGUUGUUAUUAUUGUUGUUCUUGGUGUUGUUGUCAUUGUAAUUGGUAUUGUUGUCAUUGUAAUUGGUAUUGUUGUUGUUCUUGGUGGUGUUGUUGUUAUUGGUGGUGUUGUCAUUGUUAUUGGUCUUGUUGUUGUUAUUAUUGCUAUUGUCGUUGCUAUUGUUAUUGUUACUGUUGUUCUUGGUGGUGUUGUUAUUAUUGUUGUUCUUGGUGUUGUUGUCAUUGUAAUUGGUAUUGUUGUUGUUCUUGGUGGUGUUGUUGUUAUUGUUCUUGGUGUUGUUGUCAUUGUUAUUGGUGUUGUUGUUCUUGGUGUUGUUGUUGUUGUUAUUGUUGUUCUUGGUGUUGUUGUCAUUGUUAUUGGUAUUGUUCUUGGUCUUGUUGUUGUUGUUAUUGCUAUUGUCGUUGCUAUUGUUAUUGUUACGGUUGUUCUUGGUGGUGUUGUUAUUAUUAUUGUUCUUGGUGUUGUUGUCAUUGUAAUUGGUAUUGUUGUUGUUCUUGGUGUUGUUGUUAUUGUUGUUCUUGGUGUUGUUGUCAUUGUUAUUGGUAUUGUUGUUGUUCUUGGUGGUGUUGCUGUUAUUGUUGUUCUUGGUGUUGUUGUCAUUGUUAUUGGUAUUGUUGUUGUUCUUGGUGUUGUUGUUGUUAUUGUUGUUCUUGGUGUUGUUGUUAUUGGUAUUGUUGUUGUUCUUGGUGUUGUUGUUGUUAUUGUUGUUCUUGGUGUUGUUGUCAUUGUUAUUGGUAUUGUUGUUGUUCUUGGUGGUGUUGUUAUUAUUGUUGUUCUUGGUGUUGUUGUCAUUGUAAUUGGUAUUGUUGUUGUUCUUGGUGGUGUUGUUGUUAUUGUUGUUAUUGGUGGUGUCAUUGUUAUUGGUAUUGUUCUUGGUCUUGUUGUUGUUGUUAUUGCUAUUGUCGUUGCUAUUGUUAUUGUUACUGUUGUUCUUGGUGGUGUUGUUAUUAUUGUUGUUCUUGGUGUUGUUGUCAUUGUAAUUGGUAUUGUUGUUGUUCUUGGUGGUGUUGUUGUUAUUGUUGUUCUUGGUGUUGUUGUCAUUGUUAUUGGUAUUGUUGUUGUUCUUGGUGUUGUUGUUGUUAUUGUUGUUCUUGGUGUUGUUGUCAUUGUUAUUGGUAUUGUUGUUCUUGGUGUUGUUGUUCUUGGUGUUGUUGUUCUUGGUGUUGUUGUUGUUGUUGUUGUUAUUGUUGUUCUUGGUGUUGUUGUCAUUGUUAUUGGUAUUGUUCUUGGUCUUGUUGUUGUUGUUAUUGCUAUUGUCGUUGCUAUUGUUAUUGUUACUGUUGUUCUUGGUGGUGUUGUUAUUAUUGUUGUUCUUGGUGUUGUUGUCAUUGUAAUUGGUAUUGUUGUUGUUCUUGGUGUUGUUGUUGUUAUUGUUGUUCUUGGUGUUGUUGUCAUUGUUAUUGGUGUUGUUGUUGUUCUUGGUGUUGUUGUUGUUGUUGUUGUUGUUAUUGUUGUUCUUGGUGUUGUUGUCAUUGUUAUUGGUGUUGUUGUUCUUGGUGUUGUUGUUAUUGCUAUUGUCAUUGCUAUUGUUACUGUUGCUGCUAUUGCCGUUAUUCUUGCUACUGUUAUUGGUGCCGUUUGUGUUAUUGCUGCUGUUGUUGCUGUUCUUGGUGCUGUUGUUGUUAUUGUUAUUAUUGUUGUUCUUGGUGUUGUUGUCAUUGUAAUUGGUAUUGUUGUUGUUGUUGGUAUUGUUGUUCUCAUUGCGAUUGUUAUUGUUACUGUUGUUGCUGCUAUUAUCGCUGUUGUUAUCCUUGCUACUGUUUUUGGUGUUAUUGUUGCUGUUGUUGUGGCUGUUGCUGUUGGUGGUGUUAUUGUUGCUGUUCUUGGUGUUGUUGUCAUUGGUAUUGUUGUUGUUCUUGGUGUUGUUAUUGCUGUUGUUGCUAUUGCUUUUGAUACUGUUAUUAUUGCUAUUGUUGCUGUUGUCAGUAAUAAUCAUCAUCAUCAUCAUCAUCAUAAACAGCUUUAUUUACAUAUAAAAUUCCAUGCAUUAAAAUGCAGCUUAAAGUGUGUUACAAAGACAAAAAUGUCACACAAUAAAGGCACAAGC